GUGUGUGAGGGUGAUAUCUGUCAUCCCAUUGAUCACCCAGGUUGAUUUGGUUGAUCUACUUGGCUAGGUGUGACCCCUCCCUCUCUCACUGUUCCAUGUGCAUCCCUCCAAAAGCUGCACACUCAAUGGUAGAAAACAACCAUCCCAGACAGAAAGGGUAUACCAAUCUUCGUUCAAGGGUAUACAAUACUGAGCUCCCUUGCUAGAACCUCCAAACAAGCUCCAUCCAGCUUUCCCCAUUGUCUUGGCCUGUUGGAAACCAUCUGGAAAGGUCACAUAUUGUGAUUAUGUGACCCUAUGUCAUUGCAAUUGUCA
rnacentral:snRNA from 1 species